rnacentral:piRNA from 1 species
GUCCUUGUGAAGAUGUCCCC